GAUCCUGGCUCAGGAUGAACGCUAGCANCAGGCUUAACACAUGCAAGUCGAGGGGCAGCGGGGAGUAGCAAUACUCCGCCGGCGACCGGCGCACGGGUGCGUAACGCGUAUGCAACCUACCUUUAACAGGGGCAUAACACUGAGAAAUUGGUACUAAUUCCCCAUAACAUUCGAGAAGGCAUCUUCUUGGGUUAAAAACUCCGGUGGUUAAAGAUGGGCAUGCGUUGUAUUAGCUAGUUGGUGAGGUAACGG
rnacentral:rRNA from 1 species